CAGUCGCCACGGGAAUACGGAGGGUGCAAGCGUUAAUCGGAAUUACUGGGCGUAAAGCGCACGCAGGCGGUCUGACAAGUCAGAUGUGAAAUCCCCGGGCUUAACCUGGGAACUGCAUUUGAAACUGUCAGGCUGGAGUCUUGUAGAGGGGGGUGGAAUUCCAGGUGUAGCGGUGAAAUGCGUAGAGAUCUGGAGGAAUACCGGUGGCGAAGGCGGCCCCCUGGACAAAGACUGACGCUCAGGUGCGAAAGCGUGGGGGGCAAACAGGAUUAGAUACCCCUGUAGUCCCUGUCUCUUAUAC
rnacentral:rRNA from 1 species